rnacentral:lncRNA from 1 species
GUUUGCCAUACUAUCGGUAGAGACCUCCGUGCUACCAAAUUGUUUUCAAUGAUGCGACUUUCAAAUCGACGAUUGACUCCUUUAAACUUGAUCAAUACUAUUGAAAGUAUUUGAAAAAUAAAUUUCAUAAUUUUUUAACAUUAUUUACCAAUCAAACGAGUAGUGUAAAAAUAAAUGAUUGAAAAUAAAAAUUUCAUAAAAAAUGAUGAUAAAAAACUUGAAUUUAAAAUCAGAGGUACUAAUCUUAUUCUAAAUAGUGAAAAAAAAAUUUCUUUAAAAAUUUCAUCGGAUUUGAAUUGUUUUAUACUGUUAAAUUCAUAAACGUAUCGCAUCGAUCAUUAAAAUUAUCAAUUUUGACACAUUUUGAUCACUAGCGAAAAAUGUAAAAAAAUUAUAAAAUUUAGUUUUCAAAUACUUUCAGUAGUGUAAAUCAAAUCUAAUGGAGUUGAUCAUUGAUUUAGAAGCUGGAUCACUGAAAACAAUUUUAUUGUACGGAAGCCUCUGUGCUACCGAUAGUAUAGGAGCCUAGCUCAAUUAAUAUUUAGCAAACGGUUCUCACAUCUGUGAUGCAUAAAAGUGCAGCANCUAGAAAUAAACGGCUGAAAAUAAAAAUUUCAUAAAAAAUGAUGAUAAAAUAUGUGAAUUUAAGAUCAGAGAUCUUACUCUAAAUAAUGAAAAAUAAUAAUA